rnacentral:rRNA from 1 species
UAGGGAAUCUUCGGCAAUGGACGAAAGUCUGACCGAGCAACGCCGCGUGAGUGAAGAAGGUUUUCGGAUCGUAAAACUCUGUUGUUAGAGAAGAACAAGGACGUUAGUAACUGAACGUCCCCUGACGGUAUCUAACCAGAAAGCCACGGCUAACUACGUGCCAGCAGCCGCGGUAAUACGUAGGUGGCAAGCGUUGUCCGGAUUUAUUGGGCGUAAAGCUAGCGCAGGCGGUUUCUUAAGUCUGAUGUGAAAGCCCCCGGCUCAACCGGGGAGGGUCAUUAGAAACUGGGAGGCUUGAGUGCAGAAGAGGAGAGUGGAAUUCCAUGUGUAGCGGUGAAAUGCGUAGAUAUAUGGAGGAACACCAGUGGCGAAGGCGGCUCUCUGGUCUGUAACUGACGCUGAGGCUCGAAAGCGUGGGGAGCAAACAGG